AGAGUUUGAUCCUGGCUCAGAUUGAACGCUGGCGGCAUGCUUUACACAUGCAAGUCGAACGGGGUUAAGGGGCUUGCUCCUUAAUCUAGUGGCGAACGGGUGAGUAAUGCAUCGGAACGUACCCGGGAGUGGGGGAUAACGCACCGAAAGGUGUGCUAAUACCGCAUAUUCUGUGAGCAGGAAAGCAGGGGACCUUAGGGCCUUGUGCUUCCGGAGCGGCCGAUGUCGGAUUAGCUAGUUGGUGAGGUAAAGGCUCACCAAGGCGACGAUCCGUAGCGGGUCUGAGAGGAUGAUCCGCCACACUGGGACUGAGACACGGCCCAGACUCCUACGGGAGGCAGCAGUGGGGAAUUUUGGACAAUGGGCGCAAGCCUGAUCCAGCCAUGCCGCGUGUCUGAAGAAGGCCUUCGGGUUGUAAAGGACUUUUGUCAGGAAGGAAAACCUAUUGGCUAAUAUCCAGUGGGGAUGACAGUACCUG
rnacentral:rRNA from 1 species